GAUGAACGCUGGCGGCGUGCCUAAUACAUGCAAGUCGAGCGAACAGACGAGGAGCUUGCUCCUCUGACGUUAGCGGCGGACGGGUGAGUAACACGUGGAUAACCUACCUAUAAGACUGGGAUAACUUCGGGAAACCGGAGCUAAUACCGGAUAAUAUAUUGAACCGCAUGGUUCAAUAGUGAAAGACGGUUUUGCUGUCACUUAUAGAUGGAUCCGCGCCGCAUUAGCUAGUUGGUAAGGUAACGGCUUACCAAGGCAACGAUGCGUAGCCGACCUGAGAGGGUGAUCGGCCACACUGGAACUGAGACACGGUCCAGACUCCUACGGGAGGCAGCAGUAGGGAAGCUUCCGCAAUGGGCGAAAGCCUGACGGAGCAACGCCGCGUGAGUGAUGAAGGUCUGCGGAUCGUAAAACUCUGUUAUUAGGGAAGAACAAAUGUGUAAGUAACUAUGCACGUCUUGACGGUACCUAAUCAGAAAGCCACGGCUAACUACGUG
rnacentral:rRNA from 1 species